UAGCAAGAGGCAGUGUUGACACAAAAGUCUACAUCUGCCUGACUCUAGAGCUAGUGCUCUAGAGAUCUAGUGAUCUCUCUACCUUCAACAUAGUUCUAGAAAGAUUAUAAGAUAGCUCUCAGUUCAAUUUCUUCAUCAUUUCAAUAAGGGCUGUGCAGUUCAAGAGGUCAGCAAAACCAUGAUGAAAAUUAAUGAAAAUCCCAGUGGCUAUUAUUCUAGCAGAAGAAUAUGAUGGAAGUAAGAAAUGCUAUAAAAUUACCACCUUUAAACAAUGAACCAUAGGGGGUAUCUCCCCCUCCAGGGUCUGCAGUUUGAGUAAUUGGUUUUCCAGCACCUCGAAUGAGACUUGUGGAGCCAGCCACCUGCUCUGUGCCUACAUGCAAGUCUUGAGCACCUCAUGUGUACCAUUAAGCAAAACCUACUCAGAAUGAAGAAGAAGUGGCUCCAUCUCAAGUGAACUAUGGAGUCAAGAUCAGAAAGAGCCAAGAGGGGCCAGAGUGACACUUUCCAUUUGCCACCUUCUAAUUUGGAAAAAAUGGCUACAUGGCUCUGUCACAGCAUUCUGAACUCCAGUGGAAUGAAGCAAUCUUCACCUAAUAGAUCCCACCAUUCCUAUGAUGGUAUUCCUUGGCCCCGUUUCUGUGCUUACACUCUGCCAAAUCCAUGAGUCCUUCCUCUGGUCACCUCCUCUGUUGGAAAAGGAAUGAUUUGGGCAAGUUGGACAAUAAUAACGGACCAAUUCACCUGCCUCUCAGUGACAUUUCUAAAUAGAGUCAGGGAAAGUAUUCCUAUCUAGGAUGAAAGGGUUCCCAAAGGUUGCUUAAUCAACCAUCACAGUAGCUGGUAUAAUCACAUUUACAAAUAAAUCAAGGUGAUAUUA